UACGUAGGGGGCAAGCGUUGUCCGGAUUUAUUGGGCGUAAAGAGCGUGUAGGCGGCCAGAUAGGUCCGUUGUGAAAACUGGAGGCUUAACCUCCGAGCUGUCGAUGGAAACCAUCUGGCUAGAGUCCGGAAGAGGAGAGUGGAAUUCCUGGUGUAGCGGUGAAAUGCGCAGAUAUCAGGAAGAACACCCGUGGCGAAAGCAGCUCUCUGGGACGGUACUGACGCUGAGACGCGAAAGCGUGGGGAGCGAACAGG
rnacentral:rRNA from 1 species